rnacentral:sRNA from 1 species
CAGCUGGCUGGGCUGGAGGGGCUGUGAGGAGGGAGGGUGGAGGCAGGAGGGGCCGGGAAUGAGCGCCAUGUUCUCCCAGGACUUUUUCCUGGCCAUCAUCCUGCAGGACAGCAGCGCAGAUUCCUUCUGGAACCCCAACGCCUUCGAGACGGAUUCCGACCUGCCGGCUGGAUGGAUGAGGGUCCAGGACACCUCAGGGACCUAUUACUGGCACAUCCCAACAGGGACCACCCAGUGGGAACCCCCCGGCCGGGCCUCCCCCUCACAGGGGAGCAGCCCCCAAGAAGAGUCCCAGCUCACCUGGACAGGUUUUGCUCAUGGAGAAGGCUUUGAGGAUGGAGAAUUUUGGAAGGAUGAACCCAGUGAUGAGGCCCCAAUGGAGCUGGGACUGAAGGAACCUGAGGAGGGGACAUUGACCUUCCCAGCUCAGAGCCUCAGCCCAGAGCCGUUGCCCCAAGAGGAGGAGAAGCUUCCCCCACGGAAUACCAACCCAGGGAUCAAGUGUUUCGCCGUGCGCUCCCUAGGCUGGGUAGAGAUGACCGAGGAGGAGCUGGCCCCUGGACGCAGCAGUGUGGCAGUCAACAAUUGCAUCCGUCAGCUCUCUUACCACAAAAACAACCUGCAUGACCCCAUGUCUGGGGGCUGGGGGGAAGGAAAGGAUCUGCUACUACAGCUGGAGGACGAGACGCUAAAGCUAGUGGAGCCACAGAGCCAGGCACUGCUGCACGCCCAACCCAUCAUCAGCAUCCGCGUGUGGGGCGUCGGGCGGGACAGUGGAAGAGAGAGGGACUUUGCCUACGUAGCUCGUGAUAAGCUGACCCAGAUGCUCAAGUGCCACGUGUUUCGCUGUGAGGCACCUGCCAAGAACAUCGCCACCAGCCUGCAUGAGAUCUGCUCUAAGGCACGGCCCCCUCCACUCCCUGGACUAGCUGCCACCUUUGCUCUAGGAGGGUGUGGGUGGGGUCACUGAAUGGGGUGGGGGGCCCCAGGGCAAUGAGGCUCUAAUAGAUUCUCCCUGGCUCCUCGCCUCCCUUCCUUCCUCAGAUCAUGGCCGAACGGCGUAAUGCCCGCUGCUUGGUAAAUGGACUCUCCCUGGACCACUCUAAACUUGUGGAUGUCCCUUUCCAAGGUCAGUGUCAAAACCUCUCCAGGUCCAGCUCAGCUUUGUUGGCAAAGGUGGGUGACCCAAGGAAAGGCAUGAGCUCCUGGACAGCGCUGAUAGAAAAAUGAACACAUGAAGACUGAAUACUCCAAUACGUGGAGGGACUCCAGUUAAAGGGAGGCAGGGGAUGAGAAG